rnacentral:rRNA from 1 species
GAUGAACGCUGGCGGCGUGCCUAAUACAUGCAAGUCGAGCGAACAGACGAUGAGCUUGCUCCUCUCUCGUUUGCGGCGGACGUGUGAGUAACGCGUGGAUACCCUCCCUAUAAUACUGAUAUAACUUCGGGACUCCGGCUCUAAUACCGUAUAAUCUCUUGCACCGUAUGGUUGAAUAGUGAAAUACGGUUUUUCUGUCACUUAUCGCUGCAUACGGGCCGCAUUGGCUAGUUGGUAAGGUAACGGCCUACCACGGCAACGAUGCGUAGACGACCUGAGAGGGUGGUCGCCCACACUGGAACGUAGACGGGGUCAAGAGGACUAAGGGAGGCCGCAGAAGGGUAUGUGACGCAACGGGCGAAAGCAUGACGGAGCAACGCCGCGUGAGAGAUGAAGACCUUCGGAGCGUAAAAAUCUGUUAUUAGGGAAGAACAAAUGUGUAAGUAACUAAGCACGUCGUGACGGUAAUGAAUCAGAAAGCAACGGCUAACUACGUG